GGGGGCGACCUGGUCUCGACGGGGGUCGCGAAGCAGCUUGGUGCAUACCGAGGUCCAGUCACCUCGUUAAUCCGCUGGAAAUCUUUACUCGCAAACGACGAGCAAUUCGCUCUGGCCGCUUAAGGCCUAAGCCGCUGCACUGAUUGGCCUCUGGGUCAGGUGGGGUAAAACUCACAGCAGCGUCAUUCACAGGGGAUCGUGCCGUAACGGGUUACUUGUUACGGAGCUAAAACCAAGGUGACUCGCCUUGUGUCGGCCUGCCGAUCGGCUAAGCACAGGGUUAAACAAAAUUGAACGGCUAAGUAUGUAGAUCCAGUUGUAGAGGACUUUCGGACGCGGGUUCGAUUCCCGCCGCCUCCACCA
rnacentral:tmRNA from 1 species